CCCCUAGACGUUCUGGGCUGCACGCGCGCUACAAUAAUACGCACAGCGAGUAUCACCGAGCUCGAAAGGGCAAGGUAAACAAUAGAAAAGGUACUGUAAUGGUUAUAGAUCCUUGUAAUUAUUGAUCUUCAACGAGGAAUUCCUAGUAAGUAUGUGUCAUCAUCACGCACUGAUUACGUCCCUGCCCUUUGUACACACCGCCCGUCGCUCCUACCGAUUGGGUGUGCUGGUGAAAUGUUCGGAUCGGCCGUUUGUCGCGGUUUCCGCGGCUCGUGGCUGAGAAGUUCAUUAAACCCUCCCACCUAGAGGAAGGAGAAGUCGUAACA
rnacentral:rRNA from 1 species